rnacentral:rRNA from 1 species
GACGAACGCUGGCGGCGUGCCUAAUACAUGCAAGUAGGACGCAGUUGCGAACGGGUGAGUAACGCGUAGGUAACUACCUAUUAGUGGGGGAUAACUAUUGGAAACGAUAGCUAAUACCGCAUACUAGUAGAUGGACCUGCGUUGUAUUAGCUAGUCGGUUGGGGAAGGGGCUACCUAGGCAACGAUACAUAGCCGACCUGGUAGGGUGAUCGGCCAAACUGGGACGGAGAGACGGCCCUGACUCCUACGGGAGGCAGCAGUAGGGAAUCUUCGGCAAUGGGGGGAACCCUUACCGAGCAACGCCGCGGUAGUGAAGAAGGUUUUCGGAUCGUAAAGCUCUGUUGUUAAGGAAGCGGUACUUAACCAGAAAGGGACGGCUAACUACGUGCCAGCAGCCGCGGUAAUAC